AGAGUUUGAUCAUGGCUCAGAUUGAACGCUGGCGGCAGGCUUAACACAUGCAAGUCGAGCGGAAACGAUGGUAGCUUGCUACCAGGCGUCGAGCGGCGGACGGGUGAGUAAUACUUAGGAAUCUACCUAGUAGUGGGGGAUAGCACGGGGAAACUCGUAUUAAUACCGCAUACGACCUACGGGAGAAAGGGGGCAGUUUACUGCUCUCGCUAUUAGAUGAGCCUAAGUCGGAUUAGCUAGAUGGUGGGGUAAAGGCCUACCAUGGCGACGAUCUGUAGCUGGUCUGAGAGGAUGAUCAGCCACACCGGGACUGAGACACGGCCCGGACUCCUACGGGAGGCAGCAGUGGGGAAUAUUGGACAAUGGGGGAAACCCUGAUCCAGCCAUGCCGCGUGUGUGAAGAAGGCCUUUUGGUUGUAAAGCACUUU
rnacentral:rRNA from 1 species